CUCCCUGAUGUUAGCGGCGGACGGGUGAGUAACACGUGGGUAACCUGCCUGUAAGACUGGGAUAACUCCGGGAAACCGGGGCUAAUACCGGAUGGUUGUUUGAACCGCAUGGUUCAAACAUAAAAGGUGGCUUCGGCUACCACUUACAGAUGGACCCGCGGCGCAUUAGCUAGUUGGUGAGGUAACGGCUCACCAAGGCAACGAUGCGUAGCCGACCUGAGAGGGUGAUCGGCCACACUGGGACUGAGACACGGCCCAGACUCCUACGGGAGGCAGCAGUAGGGAAUCUUCCGCAAUGGACGAAAGUCUGACGGAGCAACGCCGCGUGAGUGAUGAAGGUUUUCGGAUCGUAAAGCUCUGUUGUUAGGGAAGAACAAGUACCGUUCGAAUAGGGCGGUACCUUGACGGUACCUAACCAGAAAGCCACGGCUAACUACGUGCCAGCAGCCGCGGUAAUACGUAGGUGGCAAGCGUUGUCCGGAAUUAUUGGGCGUAAAGGGCUCGCAGGCGGUUUCUUAAGUCUGAUGU
rnacentral:rRNA from 1 species